rnacentral:rRNA from 1 species
GACGAACGCUGGCGGCGUGCUUAACACAUGCAAGUCGAACGAAGUGGCGAACGGGUGAGUAACGCGUAAUCAACCUGCCCUUCAGAGGGGGACAACAGUUGGAAACGACUGCUAAUACCGCAUACUGAAGGAGGGGAUUGCGUCGGAUUGGCUAGUUGGGGGGGUAACGGCCCACCAAGGCGAUGGUCAGUAGCCGGUCUGGGGGGAGGGACGGGCACAAUGGGACUGGGAAACGGCCCAAGCUCCUACGGGAGGCAACAGUGGGGAAUCUUCCGCAAUGGACGAAAGUCUGACGGAGCAACGCCGCGUGAGUGGUGACGGCCUUCGGGUUGUAAAGCUCUGUUAAUCGGGGCGCGGUACCGGAAUAGAAAGCCACGGCUAACUACGUGCCAGCAGCCGCGGUAAUUC